GGGUGGAUUAGUGGCGAACGGGUGAGUAACACGUGGGCAAUCUGCCCUUCACUCUGGGACAAGCCCUGGAAACGGGGUCUAAUACCGGAUAACACUCUGUCCCGCAUGGGACGGGGUUAAAAGCUCCGGCGGUGAAGGAUGAGCCCGCGGCCUAUCAGCUUGUUGGUGGGGUAAUGGCCUACCAAGGCGACGACGGGUAGCCGGCCUGAGAGGGCGACCGGCCACACUGGGACUGAGACACGGCCCAGACUCCUACGGGAGGCAGCAGUGGGGAAUAUUGCACAAUGGGCGAAAGCCUGAUGCAGCGACGCCGCGUGAGGGAUGACGGCCUUCGGGUUGUAAACCUCUUUCAGCAGGGAAGAAGCGAAAGUGACGGUACCUGCAGAAGAAGCGCCGGCUAACUACGUGCCAGCAGCCGCGGUAAUACGUAGGGCGCAAGCGUUGUCCGGAAUUAUUGGGCGUAAAGAGCUCGUAGGCGGCUUGUCACGUCGGAUGUGAAAGCCCGGGGCUUAACCCCGGGUCUGCAUUCGAUACGGGCUAGCUAGAGUGUGGUAGGGGAGAUCGGAAUUCCUGGUGUAGCGGUGAAAUGCGCAGAUAUCAGGAGGAACACCGGUGGCGAAGGCGGAUCUCUGGGCCAUUACUGACGCUGAGGAGCGAAAGCGUGGGGAGCGAACAGGAUUAGAUACCCUGGUAGUCCACGCCGUAAACGUUGGGAACUAGGUGUUGGCGACAUUCCACGUCGUCGGUGCCG
rnacentral:rRNA from 1 species